CCGAGUUCUCGGGCUUCGGCUCGAAUCUCCCACCCUUUGUGAACAUACCUCUGUUGCUUUGGCGGCUCUUUGCCGCGAGGAGGCCCUCGCGGGCCCCCCCGCGCGCUUUCCGCCAGAGGACCUUCAAACUCCAGUCAGUAAACGUCGACGUCUGAUAAACAAGUUAAUAAACUA
rnacentral:misc_RNA from 2 species